rnacentral:rRNA from 1 species
UGGGCAACCUGCCCUCAGCUCUGGGAUAACCCUGGGAAACCGGGGCUAAUACCGGAUACGACCUCCGCGGGCAUCUGCGGAGGUGGAAAGGUUUUCCGGCUGAGGAUGGGCCCGCGGCCUAUCAGCUUGUUGGGGGGUAACGGCCUACCAAGGCGACGACGGGUAGCUGGUCUGAGAGGACGACCAGCCACACUGGGACUGAGACACGGCCCAGACUCCUACGGGAGCA